GACAGAGGUGCCGAGCGUUAGGCGGAAUCACUGGGCUUAAAGCGUGUGUAGGCGGACCGUUAAGUGUCUUGUGAAAUCCCACGGCUCACCCGUGGAACGGCUGGGCAGACUGGCGGUCUUGAGAGGCCUAGGGGCAGACGGAACAAGCGGUGGAGCGGUGAAAUGCGUAGAUAUCGGCAGGAACACCCAGGGGGAAACCAGUCGACUGGGCAGCACCUGACGCUGAGGUGCGAGAGCGUGGGGAGCGAACCGG
rnacentral:rRNA from 1 species